rnacentral:rRNA from 1 species
GUUAAGUUGCAGGGUAUAGACCCGAAACCCGGUGAUCUAGCCAUGGGCAGGUUGAAGGUUGGGUAACACUAACUGGAGGACCGAACCGACUAAUGUUGAAAAAUUAGCGGAUGACCUGUGGCUGGGGGUGAAAGGCCAAUCAAACCGGGAGAUAGCUGGUUCUCCCCGAAAGCUAUUUAGGUAGCGCCUCGUGAAUUCAUCUCCGGGGGUAGAGCACUGUUUCGGCUAGGGGGCCAUCCCGGCUUACCAACCCGAUGCAAACUGCGAAUACCGGAGAAUGUUAUCACGGGAGACACACGGCGGGUGCUAACGUCCGUCGUGAAGAGGGAAACAACCCAGACCGCCAGCUAAGGUCCCAAAGUCAUGGUUAAGUGGGAAACGAUGUGGGAAGGCCCAGACAGCCAGGAUGUUGGCUUAGAAGCAGCCAUCAUUUAAAGAAAGCGUAAUAGCUCACUGGUCGAGUCGGCCUGCGCGGAAGAUGUAACGGGGCUAAACCAUGCACCGAAGCUGCGGCAGCGACGCUUAUGCGUUGUUGGGUAGGGGAGCGUUCUGUAAGCCUGCGAAGGUGGCCUGUGAGGGUUGCUGGAGGUAUCAGAAGUGCGAAUGCUGACAUAAGUAACGAUAAAGCGGGUGAAAAGCCCGCUCGCCGGAAGACCAAGGGUUCCUGUCCAACGUUAAUCGGGGCAGGGUGAGUCGACCCCUAAGGCGAGGCCGAAAGGCGUAGUCGAUGGGAAACGGGUUAAUAUUCCCGUACUUGGUGUUACUGCGAAGGGGGGACGGAGAAGGCUAUGUUGGCCGGGCGACGGUUGUCCCGGUUUAAGCGUGUAGGUGUGUGUUCCAGGUAAAUCCGGUUCACUUUAACACUGAGGCGUGACGACGAGGCACUACGGUGCUGAAGCAACAAAUGCCCUGCUUCCAGGAAAAGCCUCUAAGCAUCAGGUAACAUCAAAUCGUACCCCAAACCGACACAGGUGGUCAGGUAGAGAAUACCAAGGCGCUUGAGAGAACUCGGGUGAAGGAACUAGGCAAAAUGGUGCCGUAACUUCGGGAGAAGGCACGCUGACACGUAGGUGAAGUGAUUUACUCAUGGAGCUGAAGUCAGUCGAAGAUACCAGCUGGCUGCAACUGUUUAUUAAAAACACAGCACUGUGCAAACACGAAAGUGGACGUAUACGGUGUGACGCCUGCCCGGUGCCGGAAGGUUAAUUGAUGGGGUCAGCGCAAGCGAAGCUCCUGAUCGAAGCCCCGGUAAACGGCGGCCGUAACUAUAACGGUCCUAAGGUAGCGAAAUUCCUUGUCGGGUAAGUUCCGACCUGCACGAAUGGCGUAAUGAUGGCCAGGCUGUCUCCACCCGAGACUCAGUGAAAUUGAACUCGCUGUGAAGAUGCAGUGUACCCGCGGCAAGACGGAAAGACCCCGUGAACCUUUACUAUAGCUUGACACUGAACAUUGAGCCUUGAUGUGUAGGAUAGGUGGGAGGCUUUGAAGUGUGGACGCCAGUCUGCAUGGAGCCGACCUUGAAAUACCACCCUUUAAUGUUUGAUGUUCUAACGUGGACCCGUUACCCGGGUUGCGGACAGUGUCUGGUGGGUAGUUUGACUGGGGCGGUCUCCUCCUAAAGAGUAACGGAGGAGCACGAAGGUUGGCUAAUCCUGGUCGGACAUCAGGAGGUUAGUGCAAUGGCAUAAGCCAGCUUGACUGCGAGCGUGACGGCGCGAGCAGGUGCGAAAGCAGGUCAUAGUGAUCCGGUGGUUCUGAAUGGAAGGGCCAUCGCUCAACGGAUAAAAGGUACUCCGGGGAUAACAGGCUGAUACCGCCCAAGAGUUCAUAUCGACGGCGGUGUUUGGCACCUCGAUGUCGGCUCAUCACAUCCUGGGGCUGAAGUAGGUCCCAAGGGUAUGGCUGUUCGCCAUUUAAAGUGGUACGCGAGCUGGGUUUAGAACGUCGUGAGACAGUUCGGUCCCUAUCUGCCGUGGGCGCUGGAGAACUGAGGGGGGCUGCUCCUAGUACGAGAGGACCGGAGUGGACGCAUCACUGGUGUUCGGGUUGUCAUGCCAAUGGCACUGCCCGGUAGCUAAAUGCGGAAGAGAUAAGUGCUGAAAGCAUCUAAGCACGAAACUUGCCCCGAGAUGAGUUCUCCCUGAGACUUAGAGUCUCCUGAAGGAACGUUGAAGACGACGACGUUGAUAGGCCGGGUGUGUAAGCGCAGCGAUGCGUUGAGCUAACCGGUACUAAUGAACCGUGAGGCUUAACCUU